UCUCGAUUGGUCUAGUGGUCAGGAUACCUGCUUGUCAUGAUACAAUUCGCAGGUGGCCGGGGUUCGAUUCCCCGAUCGAGAG
rnacentral:tRNA from 1 species